AAUAGAUACCCUGGUAGUCCACGCCGUAAACGAUGAGUGCUAAGUGUUAGGGGGUUUCCGCCCCUUAGGUGCUGCAGCUAACGCAUUAAGCACUCCGCCUGGGGAGUACGGUCGCAAGACUGAAACUCAAAGGAAUUGACGGGGGCCCGCACAAGCGGUGGAGCAUGUGGUUUAAUUCGAAGCAACGCGAAGAACCUUACCAGGUCUUGACAUCCCGCUGACCGGCCUAGAGAUAGGCUUUUUCCCUUCGGGGACAGCGGUGACAGGUGGUGCAUGGUUGUCGUCAGCUCGUGUCGUGAGAUGUUGGGUUAAGUCCCGCAACGAGCGCAACCCUUGAUCUUAGUUGCCAGCAUUCAGUUGGGCACUCUAAGGUGACUGCCGGUGAUAAACCGGAGGAAGGUGGGGAUGACGUCAAAUCAUCAUGCCCCUUAUGACCUGGGCUACACACGUGCUACAAUGGACGGUACAGAGGGUCGCAACCCCGCGAGGGUGAGCUAAUCCCAUAAAACCGUUCUCAGUUCGGAUUGUAGG
rnacentral:rRNA from 1 species